rnacentral:lncRNA from 1 species
AUUAAAUCUCACUAAAAUCCCAAUUAAAUCCCGAUUUCCAACCCCAAUUAAUCCCCAAUUAAAUCCCAGCCCAAUCCCAAUUAAUCCCCAAUUAAUUCCUAAUUAAAACCCAGAUUUCCAAUUAAUUCCCAAUUGAAUCCCAAUUAAUUCCCAAUUAAUUCCCAAUUUUCCAACCCCAAAAUCCCAAAUAAAUCCCAAUUAAUUUGCAGUAAAAUCCCAAUAAAUCCCAAUAAAAACCUCAUUAAUUCCCAAUUAAAUCCUAAUUAAAUAUCAAUUAAACCCCAAUAAAACCCAAAUAAAGCCCCAAUUAAUUUCCAAUUAAGUCCCGAAUAAAUCCCAAUUAAUUUGCAGUAAAAUCUCAAUAAAUCCCAAUAAAAUCCUCAUUAAUUCCCUAAUUAAAUCCUAAUUAAAUCUCAAUUAAACCCCAAUUAAUUUCUAAUUAAAUUCUAAAUAAAUCAAAAUUAAUUUGCAGUAAAAUCUCAAUAAAUCCCAAUAAAAUCCUAAUUAAAUCUCAAUUAAACCCGAAUAAAACCCCAAUUAAUUUCCAAUUAAAUCCCCAAUAAAUCCCAAUAAAAUCCUCAUUAAUUCCCCAAUUAAAUCCUAAUUAAAUCUCAAUUAAACCCCAAUAAAACCCCAAUUAAUUUCCAAUUAAAUCCCGAAUAAAUUCCCAAUUAAACCCCAAAUAAAUCCCAAUAAAUUCCCAAUUAAAACCCCAAUUAAAUCCCAAUAAAUUCCCAAAUAAAUCCCAAUAAAUUCCAAUUAAAACCCCCAAUUAAUUAAUCCCCAAUUAAUCCCCAUUUCCCAAUAAAAACUCCGCAGCCUCCUCCUUUUAUUCUCAAUUAUUUUCAUUUUUUUAAUCUUUUUUUUUUCCUUUUUUUUCCGCUUUUUUCCAUCUUUUUUUGCCAUUUCCUGGGGCUUUUCCUCAUGCACCAAAUCCCGAAAAAAUUCCGGGAAAAAUCCCAAAAAUUCCCAAAAAAUUCCCAAAAAAAUCAAAAUAUUUCUGCAAAAAUUCCCAAAAAAAUCAAAAUAUUUCUGCAAAAAUUCCCAAAAAAAAUCAAAAUAUUUCUGCAAAAAUUCCCCCAAAAAAAUCAAAAUAUUUCUGCAAAAAUUUCGAUUUUUUGAGGAUUUUUCACCUCAAAAUUCCGAUUUUUUAAAGAUUUUUCACCUUAAAAAUCUCUUAAAAAUUCCAAAUUUUACAGCAAAAAAAAAUUUGGUAAAAAUUUGAGAUAUUUAAAAUAAUUUUUAUUAAUUAAUAAAUUAAGGUGGCUUUAAAAAUUUUAUUUCA